rnacentral:rRNA from 1 species
GUCCAUGCGGUGCUUACCAUGCAGUCGAACGGUGAACACGGAGCUUGCUCUGUGGGAUCAGUGGCGAACGGGUGAGUAACACGUGAGCAACCUGCCCCUGACUCUGGGAUAAGCGCUGGAAACGGCGUCUAAUACUGGAUAUGUGACGUGAUCGCAUGGUCUGCGUCUGGAAAGAAUUUCGGUUGGGGAUGGGCUCGCGGCCUAUCAGCUUGUUGGUGAGGUAAUGGCUCACCAAGGCGUCGACGGGUAGCCGGCCUGAGAGGGUGACCGGCCACACUGGGACUGAGACACGGCCCAGACUCCUACGGGAGGCAGCAGUGGGGAAUAUUGCACAAUGGGCGCAAGCCUGAUGCAGCAACGCCGCGUGAGGGACGACGGCCUUCGGGUUGUAAACCUCUUUUAGCAGGGAAGAAGCGAAAGUGACGGUACCUGCAGAAAAAGCGCCGGCUAACUACGUGCCAGCAGCCGCGGUAAUACGUAGGGCGCAAGCGUUAUCCGGAAUUAUUGGGCGUAAAGAGCUCGUAGGCGGUUUGUCGCGUCUGCUGUGAAAUCCGGAGGCUCAACCUCCGGCCUGCAGUGGGUACGGGCAGACUAGAGUGCGGUAGGGGAGAUUGGAAUUCCUGGUGUAGCGGUGGAAUGCGCAGAUAUCAGGAGGAACACCGAUGGCGAAGGCAGAUCUCUGGGCCGUAACUGACGCUGAGGAGCGAAAGGGUGGGGAGCAAACAGGAUUAGAUACCUUGGUAGUCA